UACGAAGGGGGCUAGCGUUGCUCGGAAUCACUGGGCGUAAAGCGCACGUAGGCGGACUCUUAAGUCGGUGGUGAAAUCCUGGAGCUCAACUCCAGAACUGCCUUCGAUACUGAGAGUCUCGAGUCCGGGAGAGGUGAGUGGAACUGCGAGUGUAGAGGUGAAAUUCGUAGAUAUUCGCAAGAACACCAGUGGCGAAGGCGGCUCACUGGCCCGGUACUGACGCUGAGGUGCGAAAGCGUGGGGAGCAACAGGG
rnacentral:rRNA from 1 species